AUAGUAUUCCCUCCAUCCCAAAAUUCUUGUCUUAUAUUUGCUUAGAUACGGAUGUAUCUAACACUAAAAUGUAACUAGAUACGUCCAUAUUUAGACAAAUUUAAGACAAGAAUUUGGGGACGGAGGGAGUACAAA
rfam:Triticum aestivum genome assembly, contig: Triticum_aestivum_CS42_TGACv1_scaffold_501582_6BL